AACUGGGGACAGCAAUACCGACAUGCAGUAAUGAGGAUGGCACCAGUAUAAAGCAACACACUCCAUGCACUAAACAGAAGCUGCUGCCUGCUACAACAAGGUCAUUGUGUGGACUUUGGCUGCUACUACAAGAGUCUGUGCCAAGUACAUCUUGGUCAUCACGGGAGCCCCCAUCUACACCAACAGGAAGGGGCUGGAGCUGAAUUCGCAAGACCACAAAC